UCUGCUAUCUUUUUUCAGGCACUUAAUAAGAGACCAACAAAAUCGCAGAAGAGAAAGGAGAAUCGCUAUUCCGGGAUCAAAGACAUUAACACCAUUCAGGAACUUCUUGAUGUCGAAGAGGAGGAAGAGGAUCUCCUGGAUGCCUACGUGACACCGUCAAAAGGCUCUCAGAAACGGGCCAUCACCACACCGGAGAACCCUCGUUCCAAGAGGACCGUUUCCACUCGCAGCCCUCAUCUGUUGUUCUCUCCUACCAGCUUUUCACCCAG